GGGCGAGUGGUGGAAUGGUAUACACGAGACACUUAAAAUGUCUUGCCGCAAGGUAUAUGGGUUCGACUCCCAUCUCGCCCA
rnacentral:tRNA from 2 species